rnacentral:rRNA from 1 species
AGCGAACGCUGGCGGCAGGCCUAACACAUGCAAGUCGAACGGACCCUUCGGGGUUAGUGGCGGACGGGUGAGUAACACGUGGGAACGUGCCUUUAGGUUCGGAAUAGCUCCUGGAAACGGGUGGUAAUGCCGAAUGUGCCCUUCGGGGGAAAGAUUUAUCGCCUUUAGAGCGGCCCGCGUCUGAUUAGCUAGUUGGUGAGGUAAAGGCUCACCAAGGCUACGAUCUAUAGCUGGUCUGAGAGGAUGAUCAGCCACACUGGGACUGAGACACGGCCCAGACUCCUACGGGAGGCAGCAGUGGGGAAUCUUGCGCAAUGGGCGAAAGCCUGACGCAGCCAUGCCGCGUGAAUGAUGAAGGUCUUAGGAUUGUAAAAUUCUUUUACCAGGGACGAUAAUGACGGUACCUGGAGAAAAAGCCCCGGCUAACUUCGUGCCAGCCGCCGCAGUAAGAC